rnacentral:rRNA from 1 species
AACGAACGCUGGCGGCAUGCCUAACACAUGCAAGUCGAACGAGACCUUCGGGUCUAGUGUCGCACGGGUGCGUAACGCGUUGGAACCUGCCCUUAGGUUCGGAAUAACUCCCCGAAAGGGGUGCUAAUACCGGAUAAUAUCUUCGGACCAAGGAUUUAUCGCCUUUGGAUGGGCCCGCGUUGGAUUAGCUAGUUGGUAGGGUAAAAGCCUACCAGGGCGACGAUCCAUAGCUGGUUUGAGAGGAUGAUCAGCCACACUGGUGCUGAGACACGGCCCAGACUCCUACGCGAGGGAGCAGAGGGGGAUAUAGGACAGUGGGCGAAAGGAUGAAGCAGUAAUGCCGGGUGAGUGAUGAAGGCCGUAAGGAAGUAAAGCGCUUUUACCCGGGAUGAUAAUGACGGUACCGGGAGAAUAAGCUCCGGCUAACUACGUG